rnacentral:rRNA from 1 species
GACGAACGCUGGCGGCGUGCUUAACACAUGCAAGUCGAACGGAAAGGCCCUGCUUUUGUGGGGUGCUCGAGUGGCGAACGGGUGAGUAACACGUGAGUAACCUGCCCUUGACUUUGGGAUAACUUCAGGAAACUGGGGCUAAUACCGGAUAGGAGCUCCUGCUGCAUGGUGGGGGUUGGAAAGUUUCGGCGGUUGGGGAUGGACUCGCGGCUUAUCAGCUUGAUGGUGGGGUAGUGGCUUACCAAGUCUUUGACGGGUAGCCGGCCUGGGAGGGUGACCGGCCACAUGGGGACUGAGAUACGGCCCAGACUCCUACGGGAGGCAGCAGUGGGGAAUAUUGCACAAUGGGCGGAAGCCUGAUGCAGCAACGCCGCGUGCGGGAUGACGGCCUUCGGGUUGUAAACCGCUUUCGCCUGUGACGAAGCGUGAGUGACGGUAAUGGGUAAAGAAGCACCGGCUAACUACGUG